CCUACGGGCGGCAGCAGUGAGGAAUAUUGGUCAAUGGGCGCGAGCCUGAACCAGCCAAGUCGCGUGAGGGAAGACGGUCCUAUGGAUUGUAAACCUCUUUUGUCGGGGAGCAAAAGACGCCACGCGUAGCGUUCCGCGAGUACCCGAAGAAAAAGCAUCGGCUAACUCCGUGCCAGCAGCCGCGGUAAUACGGAGGAUGCGAGCGUUAUCCGGAUUUAUUGGGUUUAAAGGGUGCGCAGGCGGAAGAUCAAGUCAGCGGUAAAAUUGAGAGGCUCAACCCCUUCGAGCCGUUGAAACUGGUUUUCUUGAGUGAGCGAGAAGUAUGCGGAAUGCGUGGUGUAGCGGUGAAAUGCAUAGAUAUCACGCAGAACUCCGAUUGCGAAGGCAGCAUACCGGCGCUCAACUGACGCUCAUGCACGAAAGUGUGGGUAUCGAACAGGAUUAGAUACCCGGGUAGUC
rnacentral:rRNA from 1 species